CCUACGGGAGGCAGCAGUGGGGAAUAUUGGGCAAUGGAGGAAACUCUGACCCAGCGACGCCGCGUGCGGGAUGAAGGCCUUCGGGUUGUAAACCGCUUUCAGUAGGGAAGAAGCGAAAGUGACGGUACCUACAAAAGAAGCACCGGCUAACUAUGUGCCAGCAGCCGCGGUAAUACAUAGGGUGCAAGCGUUGUCCGGAAUUAUUGGGCGUAAAGAGCUCGUAGGUCGUUUGUUACGUCGGAUGUGAAAACCUGAGGCUCAACCUCAGGCCUGCAUUCGAUACGGGCAAACUAGAGUUUGGUAGGGGAGACUGGAAUUCCUGGUGUAGCGGUGGAAUGCGCAGAUAUCAGGAGGAACACCAAUGGCGAAGGCAGGUCUCUGGGCCAAUACUGACACUGAGGAGCGAAAGUCUGGGGAGCGAACAGGAUUAGAUACCCUGGUAGUCCAGACCGUAAACGGUGGGCACUAGUUGUGGGAACCUUCCACGGUUUCUGCGACGCAGCUAACGCAUUAAGUGCCCCGCCUGGGGAGUACGAUCGCAAGAUUAAAACUCAAAGAUAUACGACGNGNGAGACGCGACGACGACGACGACGAGGAGAG
rnacentral:rRNA from 1 species